UUUGCAGGCAUUCAGCUCACGGGGACCUUCCAUACUUGCAAAUAACUGACAGUCAUUAGAGUUAGGUGAAGCUGUAGAAAGACUAAGUAAGGCACUGUACUGUCAAGCACCACUGAUGCACAACUCAUCCACAUCUUACAGGCUCCAGUUCUCCUUGGAGAGCACAUCCUGAAUACCAUGGUGGUAUAAAUAAAGAGAAAGUCAUCUUUUUCAACAGUCUCUGCUGUCUGACUGCACAUGAUUAAGUUGGAGUCUUACAUACUUGGCCAGGAUGCCAUAGUUACAAUACUUACACCAGGGAAAGGCAGAGCAAGCAAGCCAGAAUCAUGAUGGCCCCAUGGGCCCACUAAGCCCCAGGCUUCAGGCUGCAGAUGUUAUGUUAUAUAAGACCACAAACAUGGCUUUGAUAGGGGGAGGGUGAGUCCAGCCCAAGGAACCAGUACAGGAUCUCACACAAGGUUUCAAAAAGAAGUUUGAAGAAAUCCCUUCCAGUCCCCAGUUUAACUUCAUGAAGUAGGUAAGAUCCCUCAUAAUCCC
rnacentral:lncRNA from 1 species